GAGUGGCGAACUGGUGAGUAACACGUGGGAAACCUGCCCAGAAGCGGGGGAUAACACCUGGAAACAGAUGCUAAUACCGCAUAACAACUUGGACCGCAUGGUCCGAGUUUGAAAGAUGGCUUCGGCUAUCACUUUUGGAUGGUCCCGCGGCGUAUUAGCUAGAUGGUGGGGUAACGGCUCACCAUGGCAAUGAUACGUAGCCGACCUGAGAGGGUAAUCGGCCACAUUGGGACUGAGACACGGCCCAAACUCCUACGGGAGGCAGCAGUAGGGAAUCUUCCACAAUGGACGAAAGUCUGAUGGAGCAACGCCGCGUGAGUGAAGAAGGGUUUCGGCUCGUAAAACUCUGUUGUUAAAGAAGAACAUAUCUGAGAGUAACUGUUCAGGUAUUGACGGUAUUUAACCAGAAAGCCACGGCUAACUACGUGCCAGCAGCCGCGGUAAUACGUAGGUGGCAAGCGUUGUCCGGAUUUAUUGGGCGUAAAGCGAGCGCAGGCGGUUUUUUAAGUCUGAUGUGAAAGCCUUCGGCUCAACCGAAGAAGUGCAUCGGAAACUGGGAAACUUGAGUGCAGAAGAGGACAGUGGAACUCCAUGUGUAGCGGUGAAAUGCGUAGAUAUAUGGAAGAACACCAGUGGCGAAGGCGGCUGUCUGGUCUGUAACUGACGCUGAGGCUCGAAAGUAUGGGUAGCAAACAGGAUUAGAUACCCUGGUAGUCCAUACCGUAAACGAUGAAUGCUAAGUGUUGGAGGGUUUCCGCCCUUCAGUGCUGCAGCUAACGCAUUAAGCAUUCCGCCUGGGGAGUACGGCCGCAAGGCUGAAACUCAAAGGAAUUGACGGGGGCCCGCACAAGCGGUGGAGCAUGUGGUUUAAUUCGAAGCUACGCGAAGAACCUUACCAGGUCUUGACAUACUAUGCAAAUCUAAGAGAUUAGACGUUCCCUUCGGGGACAUGGAUACAGGUGGUGCAUGGUUGUCGUCAGCUCGUGUCGUGAGAUGUUGGGUUAAGUCCCGCAACGAGCGCAACCCUUAUUAUCAGUUGCCAGCAUUAAGUUGGGCACUCUGGUGAGACUGCCGGUGACAAACCGGAGGAAGGUGGGGAUGACGUCAAAUCAUCAUGCCCCUUAUGACCUGGGCUACACACGUGCUACAAUGGAUGGUACAACGAGUUGCGAACUCGCGAGAGUAAGCUAAUCUCUUAAAGCCAUUCUCAGUUCGGAUUGUAGGCUGCAACUCGCCUACAUGAAGUCGGAAUCGCUAGUAAUCGCGGAUCAGCAUGCCGCGGUGAAUACGUUCCCGGGCCUUGUACACACCGCCCGUCACACCAUGAGAGUUUGUAACACCC
rnacentral:rRNA from 1 species